rnacentral:rRNA from 1 species
CCUACGGGAGGCAGCAGUGGGGAAUAUUGGGCAAUGGGCGCAAGCCUGACCCAGCAACGUCGCGUGAAGGAAGAAUGCUCUCUGGUUUUUAACUUCCUUUUACAGGGAAGAGUAGAAGACCGUGUCUGUCGAAUAAGCGACUGCUAACUACGUCCCAGCAGCCACGGUCAUACGUAGGUGGCAAGCGAUUACCGGAUUUACUGGGUGGAAAGGGCGUGUUGCCGGGUUGACAAGUCAGAUGUGAAAUCCUGCGGCUUAACCGCAGAACUGCAUUUGAUACUGGCGAUCUUGAGUACUGGAGAGGCAGGCGGAAUUCGUGGUGUAGCGGUGAAAGGCGUAGAUAUCAGGAAGAACACCGAUGGCGAAGGCAGUUUACUGGACAGCAACUGACGGUGAGGCGCGAAAGCGUGGGUAGCAAACAGGAUUAGAUACCCCUGUAGUC